AUGGGUACGUUUGAACGACGCACGACGAGUGAGUGCCUCAGUCAGUGGCACUCACUCGUCGUGCGUCGUUCAAAUGUAGUUGUUGUGUUGGUCCUACGCUUGCUGCGUAGUUUGGCUCGCCGAGGAGAUGGCCUGCUUAUAAGUAUAAAGUGGCACUUUUCUCAAAGGAGUCUCUCUCUAUCGACUAGUUCCUACUCGCGGAAGUUAAUUCUGAUGAAGAGCCAAAAGCCAUGGAAAAAACAAAGAGAACUGCGAGAGCUACGUCAAUGAAAAAAAUAUUGAAAGUGCCGCUAUUUUACAAAUGUGUAUAAUAUCCUUGGAAGCAGAUAUUAAAUUUCCAUAAGCCUUUCUACGUUAAAGCAACGAUUCUGACUGUUGGUCUUUCUUAAGUAUUAAAUUAUUUUUGCAAAUAUCACAACUAAUUUUUUUAUUAAUUGUUUUAACAACAGCUCCACUGAUAUAACUGAUAAUAUCGUCAAGAUAAUUAUUAAAAGUCACAUCAGAAAUUGAAGUAUAAUCGUGAUCAAAAUAAGUUUGUCCUAUGUUGUUUGUAUCAUUAUUUUUAUCUGACAAACAUAAAAUUUGAUCUUUUAAAGUAUCAUUUUGGUUUAAAUCUUUUAAAAUGUUAUCUUCUUGUAAAAGAAGUGUGUCAUCUUUUGGUAUGCAAUUGGCUGUUAAUGGUACGCUAAUAUCAAUAUGCGUUAAAAGCUUUUUAUAAGCACUUUUGAAUUGUCUAGCUGUAGGAUUGUUGUUAAUUCAACAUAGAUGUAUAAUUCUCGCCAGGUUCACGAGCCACAAGAAUAUUGUCGAUUCACGUCGAUGAUACAUGCAGCGUUCAUCUUGUGCUCACAGUUGUCUUUCUGGAGCAUCAAUCCGAUGUAUGUGAUAUGCAUGAAAUUAAAUGGCGUUUGAUCCUCUAUGGCUUUUCGGGGCAAUAUAGCCUAGUUUUUGUACCCAUUGCCACGUACAGUAGAAUGGCACUGGGCUGAAUGUCAUCCAUUGUAUACUGUAAGGGGAUAACAUGGUCUUAUGCUACGCAUAUACGGUUAAUUUGUCGUGAAAAAAAUACAUCACCAGUGAUCACUACAAUUUUCUCCAAUAAUUUGUAAGCUUUUAUCGCUACGACUUGCUACAAUUAUGUGAAGCUAAUUCGAAUAACAUACUUUGUGUUUCAAAAUAAAAAUUAUCUUUUACGCAUAAAAAUCGAUCCAGUGAUUUAUCGUUUGUUUUACUUUCUAUAGAUAAUGCAUUAUCCUUU